rnacentral:lncRNA from 1 species
CAGAGAUUCACGCCCCACGAGCGGUCGCUAGUAUAGGGUAGAAAAGGUGAUUUCCUUUCGAUAAGAAAGUGCAUUUCUAGCGUAGGUUGGAAAGCCGACAGUCCGCAGUCCCUGGCAGUGGGAGGUUGUUUGAGGGGCGCUGCCGGGGGUGGGGGUGGGGCUGAGCGCUGGGUCAGCCCCUCCCCAACCUCCCCCAGCCUCGGGCCAGCCACGAAUGUGGGUGGUUGGGGGGUGAAGGCGGAGGACGGGUGAGGAAGGAAGGGGCUGGGAAAUGCGAAGAGAUUAUUCUGCCUCAGGAACUACAUAAUGGCCGGGAAGGACCGCCAAACAAGACUGCAACCAAUAGGAAGUUGUACGACGCUCCUACAUUUGACUCAACCACAGGAACAAUUGCACCAGAAGGGGCAAAAUGUCCCCCUAAGAGGAAGAGAAGAGAAAACAGCAAUUGUGUCCCUGCAUCGCCUGAUUGCAGUCAAGGUAGCCUACCAUCAACAGGAGAAAUAAAAGGCAAGCUGUGUCCUCUCUGUGUCGGGAAUGAAACCAGUGGUCAUUUACUUUAAACAUUUAUCUUUUAAAUUUUUUUGAGGGGGAGAUAAUUAGGCUUAUUUAUUUACUUAUUUUCUUAUUGGAGGUUCUGGGGACUGAACCCAAGACCUUGUGCAUGCUAGGCAUGCACUCUACCACUGAGCUAUACCUUCCUCAUUAAACAUUUAUCUUUUAACACGCAUUUUCCUCCAAUUGUAGGUAAUGAAUCUUGUCAGUAAGUCAGGGUAUUCCUGUCACAAUGUGCUAGAAACUUCUCUCUUCCCUAGCAUAGUGGUUCUUCUGCUGCUAUUCUAAGGUGUUUUAUGGGCACAGUUUGAGUAAUAUCAUUGUUUCCUUAGAAUGUGCCUAGGACUAAUCCCAUUAAAUCAUGCAUGUAGAUAUGUAUGUGCGUGUAAGUCUGUAUGCCUGUAUAAGAAAUUCUAUUGCAGCAAAACUGGUUAGAUUGCAGAUCUCUGCACAAUGAAACUGUUCGGACAGCUUGUUUAUUUCAAGCACUCCUUUAAUACUCUUUUUUUUUUUCCUUAUGAGCACGUCAACUUUAACUUUUGAAAUUAAGAAAUUGAUCACAGGAUUAUUUUCUACCAAUCAACACGAGGUGGUCUACAGACAAAUCUCUUGAUGGAAUUUGAUCUUACCGAAAUUAAUGAAGUGAUCCACUGAUGGAGAUUAAACUGAAGGGUUAAAUCAGAACACUUAAAGAUGAUCCGAUGACACCGUUUUACAUUCUCAAGAUUUUGCUUUUGAUGUUGCUGGGAAAGAGUAAGCAGAAAGCACAAAGCCGAAACUUCAGGAUCAGCUUAGCGGCCUGAAUCUGUACACCAUAAAGCACAGGGCAGUUAUCGACGUGGAAAACCCGAUGAUCUUCAGCAGGCCUGACACGGAUGGCAGGUUUCUCUCCCAGAAGGUGUGGGUGAUUUCUACAGGUGGAACAUCCAAUGAUUCUGGUCCUUCGACCCAUAUGUCUUGCUUUGACACCUUCCCCAAAGCAUUCAAGAUCUUUGUAUCUGCCCGUUCCCCAGCCUCUACUGCUCCUUCCAUGUAACUACUCCGUUGUGUGGCAGUCUCCGUGCCAACGAAGUAAAUUCUGCCUACUGGCUGGCGAAUCACCCUUCCGUACUGAUUCAUGAUCCCUCGGGGGAGGUAGGCUGUGUAACAGCCUCUGGAGUACUACUCCUCACACCAGUUCUUCUCUUCAUAGUGCACCAGUUGUAAAGCUUCUUGGGGUCCUAGCACUUUGGCGUAGAGUUCACAGAUUUUCCUUUUCCGUAUUUUUUUUAUGGAUUUUAGCAAGGCGGUCAGCUUUUCGAGCAAGUAUGAAGCCCAUGAUGGCGGGCAGUGAUCCAUCUGGCUUGAUGUCAUCUAGGGUUAUUGAAAUUGGAGCCUCCUCAUCUUCAGUGAUCAUACAGCCACAAUAAUCGUUCUUCCAAAAGGCUUCCUUGUAAUACAUCAUGCACUUAAUGAUAGCUCCCAUUGGAAGGCACUGAAUUAACUGGUUUCUCUCUGAUGGGAACUCUGGUCUGAAGUGUAUCUUGGCAGUCAAACUUAUUUUCUUAUUGGAGGAAUGGCACUAAUUAUGUAUUGGCACUCAUAAAGUUCAUGAUUCAGUGUCCGAGUGGUGAUGUUGUCACCUGACUGGUCAACAGAGGUGACAGGACACCUCAGCUUCACUCUGUCCCCGAGCAGUUGCAUUAUCUGUUCGCUUACUUGACCAGAUCCACCUACAAACUCCAUUCCUGGCCUCCAUUGGUAACUGAGAAUAUCUGAGUGGUGCCUCCACACUGCUUCACGUACCACAAGAACUAGAGGGAAGACACCUCGUGGGGCUCCAAGGUCACACUGAUAUUCACAGAGAUGCAAACUGCCUAGCGGUCUUUGGCCAACAGAUUUUAUCAGUGAGAUCUUUCAUGGUCGUCUUACCCCAUUCCUCGCAUGUGGAACCUCCCACGGGGUAUCAGCUGGGAUCUCCUUUCCCAUAUUAUUCAUUGUCCACCACAGAUUGUUGUAAUCCAGAUAUGCAGUGGGAUUCCAUACUGGAGGGAAGGUGCCCCGAAAUAGAUAAGUUCUCCCCUUGACAUAAUGAACAAGAUACUCAUUUACAUUAACCUUGUAGGUUUCUAAACCCAGUUCCUUAGAUAACCGAAAGAUUUUGUUCUGGAUCGGUCCUGCAUAAGUCCCGCCAACAUCUACGUAAUCAACAUUUUCAUUCCUCACUGUAUGUGUUCUUCCUCCAACUCUGUCCCGAGCUUCUAAAACCAAAACAUUAACUCCAUGUUCAUUUAAGAGUUUGGCAGCAGACAAUCCUGAGAUGCCGCCUCUUAUCACAACUACGUUGAACAUCUGGCCCGUUGUUUGCCUUCUCCUGAUUCUCCAUGCUCUGGUUGAGACUCUCCCAGGGCGUGGGUAUAGGAGUGGCCUUUAAUACUCUUUUGACCUCCUAUAAACUUAGACUUCUUAUGUGUCA